UACGGAGGGUGCAAGCGUUAUCCGGAUUACUGGGUUUAAAGGGUGCGCAGGCGGAUAUGUAAGUCAGUGGUGAAAUCUCUAGGCUUAACCUGGAAAUUGCCGUUGAUACUAUAUAUCUUGAAUGCUGUGGAGGUAAGCGGAAUAUGUCAUGUAGCGGUGAAAUGCUUAGAUAUGACAUAGAACACCUAAUUGCGAAGGCAGCUUACUACGCAGAUAUUGACGCUCAUGCACGAAAGCGUGGGGAUCAAACAGG
rnacentral:rRNA from 1 species